rnacentral:rRNA from 1 species
UACGUAGGGGGCUAGCGUUGUCCGGAAUCAUUGGGCGUAAAGAGCGUGUAGGCGGCCCGGUAAGUCCGCUGUAAAAGUCAAAGGCUCAACCUUUGAAUGUCAGUGGAUACUGCCGGGCUAGAGUCCGGAAGAGGCGAGUGGAACUCCUGGUGUAGCGGUGGAAUGCGCAGAUAUCAGGAAGAACACCAACGGCGAAGGCAGCUCGCUGGGACGUGACUGACGCUGAGACGCGAAAGCGUGGGGAGCAAACAGG